CGUGUAGGCGGGAAUACAAGUCAGAUGUGAAAUACUGCGGCUCAACUGCAGAACGGCAUCUGAAACUGUGUUUCUUGAGUACUGGAGAGGAAAGCGGAAUUCCUAGUGUAGCGGUGAAAUGCGUAGAUAUUAGGAGGAACACCGGUGGCGAAGGCGGCUUUCUGGACAGUAACUGACGCUGAGACGCGAAAGCGUGGGGAGCAAACAGGAUUAGAUACCCUGGUAGUCC
rnacentral:rRNA from 1 species